UUAUAGAAAUUGGAUGGAUGGAUGGAUGCAUGCAUGCAGUAUGCUGUGCUUACCUCAGUUACACAUCUACAAGCAAUGUGUUAUAAGUACUGAAGUGUUACUGAGGCUGAGGCCCAGUGAAGGAAGUGACACCCCUGUUCUGUUGUCCCUAACCCUCCCUUCCUUCAGCUGAGGAAGAAUCCCCACAGAUUCUCACAGCACAAGAUUCCAUACUCCUCUCUCAGUGUGGCCUCCCCCUGCACCGCUACCCCGGGCAGCCUGUCCGCCUUGGUUCCAGGUCCAGCGGAGGGCCAGCCACUGACAUUUCCAGACUCAGAGGAAGCUGAAAAUGAGCAGCCAGUGUCUGAAUAUCUGCAGAAACUCCUGAAUGAGAUUUACUGGAGUGUCGCCAAAGAAAUGAAUGAGUGUGACCAAGACAGCGAAUGGCCACCCGAGAGGUAUCUGCCACACCUGGGUUUUCCAGGCUCACAUUUGAUUAAAUUAGACUUUAAACAGCUCUAAGCAAAUCGGUUUGAUCACAAAGGAACAUGAGGAGUACUUGAUGGAGAUUUGUUUACUUUACCUUCUACUACAAUAUUUUGUUUUAUUUUUUAUGGCUGCGAUCGUUUAGUUUUUUCAAACCUUCUGAUGUGAAAAAAUCUUUUGCCUCACAGUCUAAUAGAAUGGGUUCAUGAUUUACAGUCAAAUCCAGCAUGUUUUGUUGAAGGUAUCAGUGAAGGCAUCAUCAGAAAUGCUACCCAGUGUGUGUCUUGAGCUGCCUGCAGGUGUGUUGUUACCACGCUGACUGUCCCUGUAGCUCAUUGCCCCCCAGGCCUCUCCAAGGGAAAAGCAAGAAUCCAGCAGACUUGGAAAGUGCCCCUCUGAGACCAAAAAGGUGAGAGUGGGACUGAAAAACUGUUGCACCAAAGACAGAUUUUUGUGCCGUGUUUCCAGUAAGAGCAAGAGGCCACGUACCUAGGGAGUGAUCCUGCUCACACGCACUGUCAUUCCAUGAGCUUCUCAGUGGAAGCUCAGAACUCACCCUCAGAAGUGCUGAGUCCCUCUCAACAUUUAAGGUCUCAGAUCACUUUCAGACCCCUUUCUUUCCUCAUCUAACAGCUCCAUAAAGGUGCAUUACAUUAUCUGUUUAAAUUACACACACACACACACACACACUGGCUGAAGCCGCUUGUCCCGAGUGGGGUCGCGGUGAACCGGAACGCUGCAACACAGGGCAUAAGGCUGGAGGGGGAGGGGACACACCCAGGAUGGGACGCCAGGCCAUCACAAGGCACCCCAAGCAGUACUCGAACCCCAGACCAGCCAGAGAGCAUGACCCAGCCAAGCCCGCUGUGCCACCACGCCCCCAUCUGUUUAAAUUAAAUACAUAUAAAAUUACAAAAACAUGUUGACUCCCAGUGUAGCUCCUGGUGCAAUAUAUGCUGGCUAAAGCAGAGACUUUGGACUAAGUGACUCUGCACUCUGAGAUUCGUGUCUGCAUCUGUAUCUCUCCAUCUGCUGGUGAAAUGUACUUUCUUUUACUCUGAGCUUUGGAGAAAAAAACAUCUGCUAAAUGAAUAAAUGUAAAUAUGGAGUGUCCCCA
ensembl:lncRNA